GAGUUUGAUCAUGGCUCAGGAUGAACGCUGGCGGCGUGCUUAACACAUGCAAGUCGAACGAAGCGCCUUAUUUGAUUUUCUUCGGAACUGAAGAUUUGGUGACUGAGUGGCGGACGGGUGAGUAACGCGUGGGGUAACCUGCCCUGUACAGGGGGGAUAACAAUCAGAAAUGACUGCUAAUACCGCAUAAGACCACAGCACCGCAUGGUGCAGGGGUAAAAAACUCCGGUGGUACAGGAUGGACCCGCGUCUGAUUAGCUGGUUGGUGAGGUAACGGCUCACCAAGGCGACGAUCAGUAGCCGGCUUGAGAGAGUGAACGGCCACAUUGGGACUGAGACACGGCCCAAACUCCUACGGGAGGCAGCAGUGGGGAAUAUUGCACAAUGGGGGAAACCCUGAUGCAGCAACGCCGCGUGAGUGAAGAAGUAUUUCGGUAUGUAAAGCUCUAUCAGCAGGGAAGAAAGUGACGGUACCUGACUAAGAAGCCCCGGCUAACUACGUGCCAGCCG
rnacentral:rRNA from 1 species